rfam:Daphnia pulex DAPPTscaffold_366_Cont9075, whole genome shotgun sequence.
GCUCGGUUAGCUCAGACGGUAGAGCGCUGGACUUUGUUCCUGAGGUCGAGGGUUCAAGUCCCUCAUCGGUCG